AGUUAUUGUGGACAGAAACAAGUUUAAAGCCCUGCUGCAGCGGUGGAGACGUUCAAAGGGUUACAGAUACCUGCAGAGGAUGUUUCCUUAGAGGAAAUUCUCACAUCGCUGCUUUUCGCUAUGUUGAGGAGCGUUUCCUGGAAACACACGACUUUCACCCUUGAAAAAUAGGUAGACCUGAACUGGGAAGGAUUGGAAUUCAAUUUCAAUUCAAUCACCCCAACUUUAUUAAUAUUUCUUUUUGUCUGACUCUCUUUUAGUUCAGCCUCCCUGAGCCCAUGUGUUCUCCAAAUAUGUUGCUUUCUCCUCUUCCUCACAGUCAUCUGCAUGCUCAAUGUAAAAUGUCAACAACUGAAGAUAAGGGGAUCAUAUAAAAUAACAUAAAUAUAAAUAUGAAAAUCAAAUGACACCUAGGCAUGAAUGCUUUAUUUUCCCCAGUUAUUAUCAGGGAUAUUUUAUUGCAUAAGAAAACAUUUUAAAAUAUACAGAUAACAGCUGUAGAUUUGCAAUAUAAUCAAUAAAUAAAAAAAAAAAAUCAUGACUAUAAACAACAUAUUUUGGAUUCUGAGCUGUAAAUAUAUAUAUAUAUAUACACAGAUAUGAGUUUAUUGCUUGUGUAAUGAGUCCCGGAGAAGGACAUCUGUUGAGCAGCAGCAUGUCUGAAACACCGCUCUGCUGUCAUUUCAAGCCAACGGGAGGACGGAGGAGGGCACGCAGGUCCACCACAAACCAACAGUCUGCAGGUUACCUAGGUCCGACUGGCUUCUGCCUUUUCGCCAAA